GACGAACGCUGGCGGCGUGCUUAACACAUGCAAGUCGAACGGAAAGGCCCUGCUUUUGUGGGGUGCUCGAGUGGCGAACGGGUGAGUAACACGUGAGUAACCUGCCCUUGACUUUGGGAUAACUUCAGGAAACUGGGGCUAAUCCCGGAUAGGAGCUCCUGCUGCAUGGUGGGGGUUGGAAAGUUUCGGCGGUUGGGGAUGGACUCGCGGCUUAUCAGCUUGUUGGUGGGGUAGUGGCUUACCAAUGCUUUGACGGGUAGCCGGCCUGAGAGGGUGACCGGCCACAUUGGGACUGAGAUACGGCCCAGACUCCUACGGGAGGCAGCAGUGGGGAAUAUUGCACAAUGGGCGGAAGCCUGAUGCAGCAACGACGCGUGCGGGAUGACGGCCUUCGGGUUGUAAACCGCUUUCGCCUGUGACGAAGCGUGAGUGACGGUAAUGGGUAAAGAAGCACCGGCUAACUACGUG
rnacentral:rRNA from 1 species